UUAUUUUGUAUCUUUUUGCACUUUUGUUAUUUGGAAGGCACUGUUGAUGGCAAAAGUUCAAAAUCGAGAUAAUGUAAAAAUAAUAUUUGUUUGAGAAACUGUGAACUUCAGUUUGGCUAAAUUUUGAAUCAUCCCUAAUAAUUGUAUAUGUGUUAGUGAUUUACAAUACAACCACGUAUUCGUAGCUUUCGCAUUUCGCACUUAAUAACUAGUGUAUUAGAGACCAGGUCUAUUUUUAUCGCAAGAAUGUGGUUUUAUUUCCUGGUCGCUAUUUUCGCGACGUUCGAUUUUGCGAUGGCUUCGUCCGGCUUUGACUUCGGAGAUACAUUGGCAUUGAUACUUGGAUUGAUUAUCGGAAUUAUGGGAUUCUUUGCCUGCAUGGGUGCUUAUUCACGUCAUCGAAAUCGUAUGGUCCCACUUUCGUAAUCACGCGAGCUCAGAAAUUCGUCUGAUACAGCUGUUCUUAUUGAUUUAAGGAAGGAAAUGACUCAACUGACUGUUUUGCAAUAAUA